UCAUGGCUCAGGAUGAACGCUGGCGGCGUGCCUAAUACAUGCAAGUCGAGCGAACGGACGAGAAGCUUGCUUCUCUGAUGUUAGCGGCGGACGGGUGAGUAACACGUGGAUAACCUACCUAUAAGACUGGGAUAACUUCGGGAAACCGGAGCUAAUACCGGAUAAUAUUUUGAACCGCAUGGUUCAAAAGUGAAAGACGGUCUUGCUGUCACUUAUAGAUGGAUCCGCGCUGCAUUAGCUAGUUGGUAAGGUAACGGCUUACCAAGGCAACGAUGCAUAGCCGACCUGAGAGGGUGAUCGGCCACACUGGAACUGAGACACGGUCCAGACUCCUACGGGAGGCAGCAGUAGGGAAUCUUCCGCAAUGGGCGAAAGCCUGACGGAGCAACGCCGCGUGAGUGAUGAAGGUCUUCGGAUCGUAAAACUCUGUUAUUAGGGAAGAACAUAUGUGUAAGUAACUGUGCACAUCUUGACGGUACCUAAUCAGAAAGCCACGGCUAACUACGUGCCAGCAGCCGCGGUAAUACGUAGGUGGCAAGCGUUAUCCGGAAUUAUUGGGCGUAAAGCGCGCGUAGGCGGUUUUUUAAGUCUGAUGUGAAAGCCCACGGCUCAACCGUGGAGGGUCAUUGGAAACUGGAAAACUUGAGUGCAGAAGAGGAAAGUGGAAUUCCAUGUGUAGCGGUGAAAUGCGCAGAGAUAUGGAGGAACACCAGUGGCGAAGGCGACUUUCUGGUCUGUAACUGACGCUGAUGUGCGAAAGCGUGGGGAUCAAACAGGAUUAGAUACCCUGGUAGUCCACGCCGUAAACGAUGAGUGCUAAGUGUUAGGGGGUUUCCGCCCCUUAGUGCUGCAGCUAACGCAUUAAGCACUCCGCCUGGGAG
rnacentral:rRNA from 1 species